UCGUCGUGCGACCAUAAAAAAAAAAAUCAAAAUAUUAGAAAAAGUUUUAUUUUCGUUUCGUCACUGCACGGAAAGUACUUCCGAAAGUUUUAAUCAGCGCCCCGCGUGUCCGACCAUCGAAUCAACGCGGUUUCGGUGAUGUGCAAAACGAAAGCAGAAGACAUUUUUGGUUCUUAAUUUUUGCUUACACACGCCAAUACAGAUAGUCAGUCACACACACACACGCACCCCGCUUGAGGAGAAGCAGCAGCAGCACAUACACACAAGCACAACCAUCAAGAAGAAGAAAAAGCAACGAACGAGGAGACAACGACGUUGGUGGAUUGGCGGCAAGGCGGGCAAGCGACGAGGAAGACCAUCAACUGUAAAUUUGCGAGGAUCUCUUGGCAACAGAAGAGAGCAGACCCACAGCCAAUUCCUCCCACAGUCAGCACACAAACAGUAUGUUCAGUAGAAAUGGGCGGAUUCCUGGAUAAGCCGAAAACCGCCAAACACAAUGAUCAAGGUGAGGGCAACAAGCUGCUCUUCGGCGUCAGUUCAAUGCAAGGCUGGCGUUGUGAAAUGGAGGAUGCCUACUAUGCACGCGUGGGGCUGGACAAUGCCCUAAACGACUGGAGCUUCUUCGCGGUGUUCGACGGGCACGCCGGCUGCAAGGUGUCUGAGCACUGUGCCAAGCAUCUGCUGGACAGCAUUGUCCACACGGACGAGUUCAUAAGCGGUGACCAUGUGAAGGGCAUACGCACUGGCUUCCUGCGCAUCGACGAGGUGAUGCGCGACCUGCCCGAGUUUACCAAGGAUACCAAGUGCGGCGGAACCACCGCCGUGUGCGCCUUUGUCAGCUCGACUCAGGUGUAUAUCGCCAACUGUGGGGACUCGCGCGCCGUGCUGUGUCGCCAGGGGGUGCCGGUGUUUGCCACGCAGGACCACAAGCCCGUCCUGCCGGAGGAGAAGGAGCGCAUACACAAUGCCGGCGGCAGUGUGAUGAUCAAACGCGUAAACGGCACCCUAGCCGUGUCCAGAGCCCUUGGCGACUACGACUUCAAAAACGUCAAGGAGAAAGGGCAGUGCGAGCAGCUGGUCUCACCCGAGCCGGAAAUAUUUUGCCAAAGCCGCCAGGACACCGACGAGUUCUUGGUGCUCGCCUGCGACGGCAUCUGGGAUGUGAUGACCAACGAGGAUGUGUGCAGCUUCAUCCACUCGAGGCUCAAGGUGACCAGCGAUCUAGUGAGCAUUGCCAAUCAGGUGGUGGACACUUGCUUGCACAAGGGAAGUCGCGAUAACAUGAGCAUCAUUAUAAUUGCCUUCCCUGGAGCACCGAAGCCAACAGAGGAGGCGAUAGAGGCUGAGCAUCGGCUGGAGAAACAAAUCGAGAAAAUCACAAGAGACGAGAUAGAGUCUAACAAGAUAACCGAUUACCUGGAUCUGCUGAAGUGUAUGCAGAACAAAGACGACAUUGAAGGUCUUCCACCCGGCGGCGGUUUGCAGUCCAAAUAUCACGUUAUCGAGCGCACAUUCAAACAAGAGUUUCCGGAUCGACCAUGUGAACUGUAUGCAUUUGAAGAUAUAUGAGUUUUGUAAUACCUAAUAUUGUUCAUUUCAAAACCAACAAUAAUCAAUCAAACAAUCAACCAAGCAACAAGUGAACAAACGAUAACUAAACACUUCCUUCCUCAGCUUCAUGUAUUCUAAAUAGCCCUACGCAUUGAGUUGCAGACAAAACAUUAAAUAGAAACCAGUUAAACAAACGCAGCAACCUGAACAGAAAGAUCUUUAAAUGCCACAGCAAACCCAAACUACACACACCCACACACAACAUAAACGAAACGAUGCGAAACAAACAAAACACACACCAAACAGUUUUCUACUUUGAUAAACGCUAAAGAAAAACCUACUAAUAAUGAUAAUAAUAAGCAUUACGAUACAUUUAUAGUUUAUAUGAGAAGGCCUGUCUGUCCUGUCCGCCCCCUCCACACUCAACAGUACCACAGCCACACACCCACGCAGAUACCGAGCCCAUAAUAUACAUAUGUAGAUGUGUUUUAGAAGAGUACUCCGAUAACUGAAAAAUUGAAUAAGAUGCAGCGGAUGGCUCAAAGCCAGUAACAGCACCACACAACAACCACACAAUAAGGAUAUAUAAGGAUCCUCCUCAACCACUAAACCGACACUUAAUAACCUACCAGGGAGACACAUCUGUCUAAAUGAUUGGCCCCAAGCAUAGACCACGGCCAACUCUAUGUGAGUGUUUCAACCUCUGUGUCUGUGUUUGUGUCUGUGUGAUCUAUCUUUCCGUCACUUCUCAUUCAACCAAAAGCAAUCAUCAAACAAACUGUCUACUGUGCCCGCCUCUGAGCUCCUUCAGUUUAGUCGUAAACGAGAAGAGAAACUUCUAAGAGAAUAACGCGAAUUAGAACUUACAUAUAGAGCGAGGGAAUGAAAUCAUUUUGAGGAGGGAUAACAUUGAGAGAGAGCCCGCUCCUCGCCGAGAAAAAUAUUUGUGUACAAGAAAGAACGUUUAAUUUUUCAAAAACUAUGUAUUAAUUAAUAUGGAUUCCGAAACCCUGCGGACUUUUGUAAGUUGUAAAAUGUUUGUUACCGAAAACACUUUUUGUUCACUUUUAUAUAUGUAUAUGGAAAAAGAAGUCGCCAGCCUAUUGCGAACACUUAAUAAUGUAAAGUAAAAAUGUUAAACUAAAGAAAACAAAAAAAAUGGAAAAACCAAACUAGCAAACAAACCUGUAACUAUCUAUAUAUGGAAAUGCGAAAAGUAAAGCCUAAACCUUAAGGUAAACAAAAGAAACGAUUAAGAAAAAUUACAA